ACUCAAGUGGCGGACGGGUGAGUAACACGUAAAAUUUGCCUUUAGGAGGGGGACAACAAUUGGAAACGAUUGCUAAUACCCCAUAUGCUUUCGAGUAAAAUGGAUUUGUCCGCCUAAAGAGAAGCUUGCGGCUGAUUAGCUUGUUGGUGAGGUAAUGGCUCACCAAGGCGACGAUCAGUAUCUGGUUUGAGAGGACGAUCAGACACACUGGAACUGAGACACGGUCCAGACUCCUACGGGAGGCAGCAGUGGGGAAUUUUCCGCAAUGGGCGAAAGCCUGACGGAGCAAUCUCGCGUGAGGGAUGACUGCCUAUGGGUUGUAAACCUCUUUUUUCAGGGAGGAAUAAAUGACGUGUACCUGAAGAAUAAGCAUCGGCUAACUCCGUGCCAGCAGCCGCGGUAAGACGGAGGAUGCAAGUGUUAUCCGGAAUCACUGGGCGUAAAGCGUCUGUAGGUGGUUUAAUAAGUCAACUGUUAAAUCUUGAAGCUCAACUUCAAAACCGCAGUCGAAACUAUUAGACUAGAGUAUAGUAGGGGUAAAGGGAAUUUCCAGUGGAGCGGUGAAAUGC
rnacentral:rRNA from 1 species